GGACUACAGGGGUAUCUAAUCCUGUUUGCUCCCCACGCUUUCGUGCAUGAGCGUCAGUGUUAGCCCAGGGGGCUGCCUUCGCCAUCGGUGUUCCUCCACAUCUCUACGCAUUUCACUGCUACACGUGGAAUUCCACCCCCCUCUGCCACACUCCAGCCCGCUAGUUUCCAAUGCAAUUCCCAGGUUAAGCCCGGGGCUUUCACAUCAGACAUCACGAACCGCCUGCGCACGCUUUACGCCCAGUAAUUCCGAUUAACGCUCGCACCCUACGUAUUACCGCGGCUGCUGGCAC
rnacentral:rRNA from 1 species